UAGCCGUAAACGAUACUCGCUAGGUGUCGGCCACGGUGCGACCGUUGUCGGUGCCGUAGGGAAGCCGUGAAGCGAGCCACCUGGGAAGUACGGCCGCAAGGCUGAAACUUAAAGGAAUUGGCGGGGGAGCACAACAACGGGUGGAGCUUGCGGUUUAAUUGGAUUCAACGCCGGAAAUCUUACCGGGACCGACAGCAACAUGAAGGCCAAGCUGAAGACUUUGCCGGAUUAGCUGAGAGGUGGUGCAUGGCGUAAGUGACU
rnacentral:rRNA from 1 species